rnacentral:tRNA from 1 species
UCCGGUGUGGCCUAGGGGCUAGGAUAUCUGGCUUUCACCCAGAAGGCCCGGGUUCAAUUCCCGGUGUCGGAA